rnacentral:rRNA from 1 species
AUGUGCUUGUCUUCGCGAAUGUUCGAUGGGAAGACACGCUCCUUCUCCAUUACCAGAAAGGCUUUCCCUGAAAGUAAAUACGUCGUCCCUGUCCCAAUCUCCCGCCUAGCCCACCGUCAUCUCCCCCUUCUCCUAUCCUAUGCAACCGUCUCGGGUCUUUUGCUCAAGGUACCCUUGCUCCACUCUGUCCUUCGCUCACUCUCCUCAGGUUCUGUCCCAUCUCUCUCCCUCUCAUUCCUCUCCCUACUCCGCCGGUCUGGCUACAUGCCCAUCGAUAACUACUCCCUUAGCGCUGCUCUUUCUACCGCCGCCCGCAUGCCCUCCGUUGUUGUUGGUGCCCAGCUCCAUACCCUUUCUGUGAAACUCGGCUUAAGUUCUGAUACCUUUGUCCUUAAUACUCUUAUCAAUAUGUACUCGUCUUGUAGUUAUCCAUCUACUGCAAGAUCAGUUCUUGAUUCUGCUCCCAAAGGAGCCUCUGAUACAGUUUCUUGGAAUACAAUCAUUGCUGGAUACGUACAUGCUGGGCUGCCUAAUAAGGCAUUGCUGGCUUUUAGCCAAAUGGCCAAGGCGCAAGUUAUGCUGGAUGAGGUCACCUUGCUGAAUGCUCUAGUUGCUUGUGCAAGGACAUGCAUGAUGAAGGUCGGAAAGCUCUGUCAUGCACUGCUUGUGACAAAUGGUUUUGAGAUUAACUGUUAUAUGGGUUCCUCUUUGAUUAGUAUGUAUGCAAAGUGUGGGCUGGUUGAAGAUGCUCGCAGGGUUUUUGAUGGAUUGCCUGAGAGGAAUGCGGUUUGCUGGACCUCAAUGAUUUCUGGAUAUACACAGUUAGGUCAGUCUAAAGAGGCUGUUAAGCUAUUCAGAGACAUGCAAAUUGCUGGAGUGAAAGUUGAUGAUGCAACAAUUGCUACUGUUGUAUCUUCAUGCGGCCAGAUGGGAGCACUGGACUUGGGACGGUAUGUCCAUGCUUACUGUGACAUUCAUGGUUUAGGCAAGGAUAUUUCUGUGAAAAAUUCAUUGAUUGACAUGUACUCAAAGUGUGGGGAUAUAAAAAAGGCCUAUGAUAUAUUUUGUGGAAUGGUCAAGCGGGAUGAUUUUUCCUGGACAGUGAUGAUAAUGGGCUUUGCUGCGAAUGGCCUCUCUGGUGAGGCACUAGAUUUGUUUGCGCAGAUGGAAGAAGAGGGUGAAGUCAUGCCGAAUGAGAUAACUUUCUUGGGUGUCCUAACUUCUUGCAGCCAUGGAGGAUUAGUUGAACAAGGAUACCAUCACUUCCAUCGCAUGUCCAGUAUUUACGGUAUUGCCCCAAGGAUCGAACACUAUGGAUGCAUGGUUGAUCUCCUGGGGCGUGCUAAGUUAUUGGCAGAGGCAGAACAGUUCAUUAAAGAGAUGCCUAUCGCUCCUGAUGUUGUAAUGUGGCGGUCGUUGUUGUUUGCCUGCAGAGCCUGUGGAGAGGUGGGACUUGCAGAGUAUGUAGCAGAAAGGAUCCAAGUAUUGGAGCCAAACAGGUGUGGAGGGGACGUUUUACUUUCUACUGUCUAUGCUACCACAUCAAGGUGGGUUGAUGCAAACAAAGUGAGGACAGGAAUAUACAGUAGCAGAAAGACCAAGCAGCCUGGUUGCUCUUUCAUUGAAGUGGAUGGAUGCGUGCAUGAGUUCUUUGCAGGGGACGAGUCACAUUUUGAAACUGAGGCUAUAUACAACACUCUUUUAGGGAUUAAUGAACUAUUAGUAGCAGAGUCCUUCCUGAUG